UACGUAGGGGGCAAACGUUGUCCGGAUUUAUUGGGCGUAAAGAGCGUGUAGGCGGCCUGGUAAGUCCGCUGUGAAAGUCCAGGGCUCAACCCUGGAAUGCCGGUGGAAACUGUCAGGCUCGAGUCCGGAAGAGGCGAGUGGAAUUCCUGGUGUAGCGGUGAAAUGCGUAGAUAUUGGGAGGAACACCAGUGGCGAAGGCGGCUCGCUGGACCGGUUCUGACGCUGAGGCGCGAAAGCGUGGGGAGCAAACGGG
rnacentral:rRNA from 1 species